rnacentral:rRNA from 1 species
UCAUAGAGGGUGAGAAUCCCGUAUUUGACCAUUAUUUUCAGCUGUGUGAUACACUUUCAAAGAGUCGGAUUGUUUGGGAACGCAGUCCAAAAUGGGUGGUAAAUUUCAUCUAAAGCUAAAUAUUGGCGAGAGACCGAUAGCGAACAAGUACCGUGAGGGAAAGAUGAAAAGAACUUUGAAAAGAGAGUUAAACAGUACGUGAAAUUGUCAAAAGGGAAGCGUUUGACACCAGUGUUGUUUUCUCGAAAAUCAAUUAAAAAAAGUUGGAUUUUGUGUUUGUAUGACCUUAACAGCUUCUUUCACUUUUUUCCUGCUUUUUUUAAUGCACUUUUCGUUUAACAAGUCAACAUCAGUUUCUUUUGUUGUAAAAAGGUCAUUGGAAGGUGGCUUUCUUUUCGGAGAAAGUGUUUAUAGCCUUUGACUCCUGCAAUCGGAGAGACUGAGGUCUGCAGCGUAGAUCCUUCGGGGUUAGAUACAUUUGUGCUAAGUUAUAGCUUUUCAUAGACAACUUGUUGACUAUGUUUAGUCAUGUAGCUUACUCGCUUAUGCUAUUUUACCUACGCUUAGGAUGUUGA